GGGUGAGUAACGCGUGAGCAACCUGCCUCUUUGAGGGGGAUAACAACCGGAAACGGUUGCUAAUACCGCAUAAGACCACACUGACGCAUGUCAGAGUGGUCAAAGGAGCAAUCCGCAGAGAGAGGGGCUCGCGUCCCAUUAGGUAGACGGCGGGGUAACGGCCCACCGUGCCGACGAUGGGUAGCCGAGCUGAGAGGCUGAUCGGCCACACUGGAACUGAGACACGGUCCAGACUCCUACGGGAGGCAGCAGUGGGGAAUAUUGGGCAAUGGGCGAAAGCCUGACCCAGCAACGCCGCGUGAGGGAAGAAGGUCUUCGGAUUGUAAACCUCUGUCCUUGGUGACGAAGGAAGUGACGGUAGCCAAGGAGGAAGCCCCGGCUAACUACGUGCCAGCAGCCGCGGUAAUACGUAGGGGGCGAGCGUUGUCCGGAAUUACUGGGCGUAAAGGGUGCGUAGGCGGUACUUUAAGUUGGAUGUGAAAUACCCGGGCUUAACUUGGGGGGUGCAUCCAAUACUGGAGAACUAGAGUGCAGGAGAGGGAAGCGGUUCCUAGUGUAGCGGUGAAAUGCGUAGAUAUUAGGAGGAACACCAGUGGCGAAGGCGGCUUUCUGGACUGU
rnacentral:rRNA from 1 species